UACGAAGGGUGCAAGCGUUAAUCGGAAUUACUGGGCGUAAAGCGCGCGUAGGUGGUUCAGUAAGUUGGAAGUGAAAUCCCCGGGCUCAACCUGGGAACUGCUUUCAAAACUGCUGAGCUAGAGUACGGUAGAGGGUGGUGGAAUUUCCUGUGUAGCGGUGAAAUGCGUAGAUAUAGGAAGGAACACCAGUGGCGAAGGCGACCACCUGGACUGAUACUAACACUGAGGUGCGAAAGCGUGGGGAGCAAACAGG
rnacentral:rRNA from 1 species